AGUGAACGCUGGCGGCGUGCCUAAUACAUGCAAGUCGAACGGAAUUUAAGAGAGCUUGCUCUUUUAAAUUUAGUGGCGCACGGGUGAGUAAUAUAUAGCUAAUCUGCCCCUUGCCGGAGGACAACAGUUAGAAAUGACUGCUAAUACUCCAUACUCCUUUUUACCAUAAGAUAAAUCGGGAAAGAAUUUCGGCAAGGGAUGAGACUAUAUCGUAUCAGCUAGUCGGUGGGGUAACGGCCUACCGAGGCUAUGACGCGUAACUGGUCUGAGAGGAUGAUCAGUCACAUUGGAACUGAGACACGGUCCAAACUCCUACGGGAGGCAGCAGUAGGGAAUAUUGCGCAAUGGGGGAAACCCUGACGCAGCAACGCCGCGUGGAGGAUGACACUUUUCGGAGCGUAAACUCCUUUUGUUAGGGAAGAAUAAUGACGUACCUAACGAAUAAGCACC
rnacentral:rRNA from 1 species